rnacentral:miRNA from 1 species
CAGAUCAUGGGACUGUCUCAG